rnacentral:rRNA from 1 species
ACAAGCGGUGGAGCAUGUGGUUUAAUUCGAUGCAACGCGAAGAACUUACCUGGUCUUGACAUCCCGGAGACCCUUAGGAAACUAGGGGGUGCUUCCAUCUGGAAGAAUCUGGAGACAGGUGCUGCAUGGCUGUCGUCAGCUCGUGUCGUGAGAUGUUGGGUUAAGUCCCGCAACGAGCGCAACCCUUGCCUUUAGUUGCCAGCAGUUCGGCUGGGCACUCUAAAGGGACUGCCGGUGUUAAACCGGAGGAAGGUGGGGAUGACGUCAAGUCCUCAUGGCCUUUAUGACCAGGGCUACACACGUACUACAAUGGCCGAUACAAAGGGCAGCGACACUGCGAGGUGAAGCCAAUCCCGUAAAAUCGGUCUCAGUCCGGAUUGGAGUCUGCAACUCGACUCCAUGAAGUUGGAAUCGCUAGUAAUCGUGGAUCAGCAUGCCACGGUGAAUACGUUCCCGGGCCUU